rnacentral:rRNA from 1 species
UACGUAGGGUGCGAGCGUUGUCCGGAAUUAUUGGGCGUAAAGAGCUUGUAGGCGGAUCUACGAGUUUUUUGUUAAAGGCUACGGCUUAACUGUAGUAAGGCAGGAGAUACUGUAGGUCUGGAAUGCGGUAGGGGAAGACAGAAUUCCUGGUGUAGCGGUGGAAUGCGCAGAGAUCAGGAGGAAUACCGAAGGCGAAGGCAGUCUUCUAGGCCGUAAUUGACGCUUAACUGCGAAGGUGUGGGGAUCAAACAGGAUUAGAUACCCUGGUAGUCCACACAGUAAACGAUAAUCACUAGAUGUCGGGUUCUAGAUGGAUUCGGUGUCGGAGCUAACGCGAUAAGUGAUUCGCCUGGGGAGUACGAUCGCAAGGUUGAA